CGGUCCUUGUGGUGUAUACCUCGGGAACUGAGGACAAUGCCAGAUAAGUAAUUAUGCCUGGAAUGGCUUAUUACCUAAAGAUUUAUUACCAAAGGAUGAGUCGGCGGCGGAUUAGGUUGUUGGCGAGGUAACGGCUCACCAAGCCAUAGAUCCGUACGGGCCUUGAGAGAGGUAGCCCGGAGAAGGACACUGAGAAACUGGUCCCAGCCCUACGGGGUGCAGCAGGCGCGAAACCUUUACACUGCACGAAAGUGUGAUAAGGGGAUCCUAAGUGCUCAUGCAAAGCAUGGGCUUUUGCCAAGUGUAAAUAACUUGGAGAAUAAGUGGUGGGUAAGACUGGUGCCAGCAGCCGCGGUAACCCCAGCGCCACAAGUGGCAAUCACAUUUACUUGGCCUAAAGCGUCCGUAGCUGGUUUUGUAAAUCUCUUGUGAAAUUGUCAGGCUUAACUUGACAGCGUGCAAGAGACACUGCAAGACUUGAGACCGGGAGAAGUUAGGAGUAUUUCUUGGGGACCGGUAAAAUGGGAUAAUCCAAGAAAGACUACCAGUGGCGAAGGCGCCUAACAAGAACGGUUCUGACAGUGAGGGACGAAGGCUAGGGGAGCGAACCGGAUUAGAUACCCGAGUAGUCCUAGCAGUAAACGCUGUGAGUUAGGUGUUGCACAACUUAUUAAGGUUGUGCAGUGUCGAAGAGAAGUCGUUAAACUCACCGCCUGGGAAGUAUGGUCGCAAGACUGAAACUUAAAGGAAUUGGCGGGGGAGCAC
rnacentral:rRNA from 1 species